rnacentral:rRNA from 1 species
UGGGGAAUUUUGGACAAUGGGCGAAAGCCUGAUCCAGCAAUGCCGCGUGUGUGAAGAAGGCCUUCGGGUUGUAAAGCACUUUUGUCCGGAAAGAAAUCCUUGGCUCUAAUACAGUCGGGGGAUGACGGUACCGGAAGAAUAAGCACCGGCUAACUACGUGCCAGCAGCCGCGGUAAUACGUAGGGUGCAAGCGUUAAUCGGAAUUACUGGGCGUAAAGCGUGCGCAGGCGGUUUGCUAAGACCGAUGUGAAAUCCCCGGGCUCAACCUGGGAACUGCAUUGGUGACUGGCAGGCUAGAGUAUGGCAGAGGGGGGUAGAAUUCCACGUGUAGCAGUGAAAUGCGUAGAGAUGUGGAGGAAUACCGAUGGCGAAGGCAGCCCCCUGGGCCAAUACUGACGCUCAUGCACGAAAGCGUGGGGAGCAAACAGGAUUAGAUACCCUGGUAGUCCACGCCCUAAACGAUGUCAACUAGUUGUUGGGGAUUCAUUUCCUUAGUAACGUAGCUAACGCGUGAAGUUGACCGCUGGGAGUACGGUCGCAAGAUUAAACUUAAAUGAAUUGACGGGGUCAUAGCUG